rnacentral:rRNA from 1 species
UACAGAGACUGCAAGCGUUAUUCGGAUUCACUGGGCGUAAAGGGUGCGCAGGCGGCCAAGUGUGUUAGGCGUGAAAGCCCGGGGCUUAACCCCGGAAUUGCACCUAAAACUACAUGGCUAGAGCAUUGGAGAGGGUAGCGGAAUUCACGGUGUAGCAGUGAAAUGCGUAGAUAUCUGGAGGAACACCGGUGGCGAAGGCGGCAUCCUGGACCGACACUGACGCUGAGGCGCGAAAGCUAGGGGAGCAAACGGG